rnacentral:siRNA from 1 species
CAUAUUGUUUUGUACACAUUCAGC